ACAACAGGGAUUGCCCUAGUAACGGCGAGUGAAGCGGCAACAGCUCAAAUUUGAAAUCUGGCUCUUUUAGAGUCCGAGUUGUAAUUUGCAGAGGGCGCUUUGGCUUUGGCAGCGGUCCAAGUUCCUUGGAACAGGACGUCACAGAGGGUGAGAAUCCCGUACGUGGUCGCUAGCUAUUGCCGUGUAAAGCCCCUUCGACGAGUCGAGUUGUUUGGGAAUGCAGCUCUAAAUGGGAGGUAAAUUUCUUCUAAAGCUAAAUAUUGGCCAGAGACCGAUAGCGCACAAGUAGAGUGAUCGAAAGAUGAAAAGCACUUUGGAAAGAGAGUCAAACAGCACGUGAAAUUGUUGAAAGGGAAGCGCUUGCAGCCAGACUUGCUUGCAGUUGCUCAUCCGGGCUUUUGCCCGGUGCACUCUUCUGCAGGCAGGCCAGCAUCAGUUUGGGCGGUGGGAUAAAGGUCUCUGUCACGUACCUCCUUUCGGGGAGGCCUUAUAGGGGAGGCGACAUACCACCAGCCUGGACUGAGGUCCGCGCAUUCGCUAGGAUGCUGGCGUAAUGGCUGUAAGCGGCCCGUCUUGAAACACGGACCAAGGAGUCUAACAUCUAUGCGAGUGUUUGGGUGUCAAGCCCGAACGCGUAAUGAAAGUGAACGGAGGUGGGAACCCGCAAGGGUGCACCAUCGACCGAUCCUGAUGUCUUCGGAAGGAUUUGAGUAAGAGCAUGGCUGUUGGGACCCGAAAGAUGGUGAACUAUGCUUGAAUAGGGUGAAGCCAGAGGAAACUCUGGUGGAGGCUCGCAGCGGUUCUGACGUGCAAAUCGAUCGUCAAAUUUGGGCAUAGGGGCGAAAGACUAAUCGAA
rnacentral:rRNA from 2 species